rnacentral:rRNA from 1 species
GAUUGAACGCUGGCGGCAGGCCUAACACAUGCAAGUCGAACGGUAACAGGAAGCAGCUUGCUGCUUUGCUGACGAGUGGCGGACGGGUGAGUAAUGUCUGGGAAACUGCCUGAUGGAGGGGGAUAACUACUGGAAACGGUGGCUAAUACCGCAUAACGUCGCAAGACCAAAGAGGGGGACCUUCGGGCCUCUUGCCAUCAGAUGUGCCCAGAUGGGAUUAGCUUGUUGGUGAGGUAACGGCUCACCAAGGCGACGAUCCCUAGCUGGUCUGAGAGGAUGACCAGCCACACUGGAACUGAGACACGGUCCAGACUCCUACGGGAGGCAGCAGUGGGGAAUAUUGCACAAUGGGCGCAAGCCUGAUGCAGCCAUGCCGCGUGUAUGAAGAAGGCCUUCGGGUUGUAAAGUACUUUCAGCGGGGAGGAAGGUGUUGYGGUUAAUAACCGCAGCAAUUGACGUUACCCGCAGAAGAAGCACCGGCUAACUCC